UACUUCUCGUGCUCGUGCACACACAACACGAUAUAGUUUGCUCAAGUAAAAAGAUGUAAAUACAUUUGCAGCGACAUAACGGCAGUUAGAAAGCAUCUGAUCAUAGCGAUGCGGAUGUUUGCAUCAGUUCUGCAGUUCUCCGGCAUCAUGUCGACAUAUGAGCUUUGAUAGAAGGCCGUGAUUCAGCUGCUAACCCGAGCAUCGCUCACGGAUGGAGAGAGACUGCGGCUGAAAUCUCUCCUGCGGCUCUGAUUGAUGGAGGAGUUGAAUAGACGAGUUGGCAGCAAAGUCUUUUCAAGAUUGGAGUCUCAGUAUUUAUGAAUUCAGACCAAGACAAGCGCUCAAGUGGUGCUCACUGCAGAGCCAAAUAACGUCAUGCGCCAGGAGGCGUGGCUAAUGUGAACACCAAGUGAAGCGAAGUGACUUCGAUUCGUCUUAUAAAAGUUUCAGAAGAGAUGUCAACAGAGAUUCUCCAAGCACUUUGAAGUCUGCAAUCAAAGGGGCCGCUGUGAGAACUGCAUGCUGGGAAACUACAGCCACACGGCAGCUCCAAACAACAUCAAUGUCGGAUCUGGAACACAAAGUCAAACAGCAUCUGACAGGAAGAAACUGUUCACAGAUCAGGUCUUUAAAGUGAUUUACGAGUGAUUAUCAAGGCUUUAUGAUGGUGUUAGACAGAUAAUCUGGGCUCAGUCUCCGCUACCGAAAGAAAGAGGAAAAGAACAAAUCGUUGUUUACCGGCAGAAUCCAUUCAGUGACCAUGGCAACCUCAUUCCCACCAAACAACUGACCUAAUGUAAAGGUCAAAUGGUCUGUGCUCGGCGCGGCGUUACAUCAGCACGGAAUUUUCAAUCUUCUCCACGAGCAGACGGAUUCCAAUGUUCCGAAACGGAACACAGAACUCGUUUUGAUACCUGUUCUGGAGAUUUGUUUUCCAUGGUAAUGAAAAAACAGCUCAGAUAAUGGAAUAGCUUAAUAUAUAUUGAUUUUAUAAUGUUGUGGAAAGGUUGUUUGCUAAUAAGAGCUGAAUUGGUUUCUUUCUCGCCGUCUGGCCUCUCCAGAAAUAGCAAUGUGGAUCUGUGGAGAAAUUACCCAGCAUACCUUCUCACACACACACACACAAUUUAUCUCAGAGCAAAUGGAAAAACCACUGAGAGAGAAAAUAAUUUCAUCACAGCAUCCUCUGCGGUUCCGAGACAAUUCUGUGAAUUCAUCAGGGGUAAAAUAUUAUCACAGUUUAACUCGGAGGAUGAGAUGAUUCACUGUACAACCCAACACACUUAAACAACAGAUGGACCUAAAACAGAGGAAAGAGACAGAGGAUAUAUA